UACGUAGGGUGCAAGCGUUGUCCGGAAUUAUUGGGCGUAAAGAGCUCGUAGGCGGUUUGUCGCGUCGGCUGUGAAAACUCGGGGCUCAGCCCCGAGCCUGCAGUCGAUACGGGCAGACUAGAGUGCUGUAGGGGAGACUGGAAUUCCUGGUGUAGCGGUGAAAUGCGCAGAUAUCAGGAGGAACACCGGUGGCGAAGGCGGGUCUCUGGGCAGUAACUGACGCUGAGGAGCGAAAGCGUGGGGAGCGAACAGG
rnacentral:rRNA from 1 species